AGAGUUUGAUCCUGGCUCAGGACGAACGCUGGCGGCGUGCUUAACACAUGCAAGUCAAGGAGAACGAGAAUCUUCGGAAUCUCUAGUAAACUGGCGCAAGGGUGCGUAUCGCGUAGGCAACCUGCCCUCAAGUGGGGAAUAACAUCGGGAAACCGGUGCUAAUACCGCAUGACAUUUCAGAUUCGCAUGUUUCUGAAAUUAAAGACUUGUCGCUUGAGGAUGGGCCUGCGUCCUAUUAGCUUGUUGGUGAGGUAAUGGCUCACCAAGGCAACGAUGGGUAGCUGGUCUGAGAGGAUGAUCAGCCACACUGGCACUGAGACACGGGCCAGACUCCUACGGGAGGCAGCAGUGAGGAAUAUUGGGCAAUGGGCGAAAGCCUGACCCAGCAACGCCGCGUGGGUGAUGAAGCACCGAGGUGUGUAAAACCCUGUUAGGGGGGAAGAGCAUUCCGACUUGUCGGAACUGACGGUACCUCCAGAGAAAGCUCCGGCUAACUCCGUGCCAGCAGCCGCGGUAACACGGGGGGAGCAAGCGUUGUCCGGAUUUACUGGGCGUAAAGAGCGUGUAGGCGGGACGAUUAGUCAGUGGUGAGAUCUUACGGCUUAACCGUAAGCGUGCUUCUGAUACUGUCGUUCUUGAGUGCGGAAGAGGGAAGUGGAAUUCCUGGUGUAGCGGUGAAAUGCGUAGAUAUCAGGAAGAACACCAGUAGCGAAGGCGGCUUCCUGGUCCGCCACUGACGCUGAGACGCGAAAGCGUGGGGAGCAAACAGGAUUAGAUACCCUGGUAGUCCACGCCGUAAACGAUGGGCACUAGGUGUUGGGCGGUUCGACCCGUUCAGUGCCGAAGCUAACGCAUUAAGUGCCCCGCCUGGGGAGUACGGUCGCAAGACUGAAGCUCAAAGGAAUUGACGGGGGCCCGCACAAGCGGUGGAGCAUGUGGUUUAAUUCGAUGCAACGCGAAGAACCUUACCUGGGCUUGAACUGCAGUGGAUCAUUCCGUGGAAGCGGAACUUCCUUCGGGACUGCUGUAGAGGUGCUGCAUGGCUGUCGUCAGCUCGUGUCGUGAGAUGUUAGGUUAAGUCCUGCAACGAGCGCAACCCUUGUCCUUAGUUGCCAUCAGAUUAUGCUGGGCACUCUAAGGAGACUGCCCCGGAUGACGGGGAGGAAGGUGGGGAUGACGUCAAGUCCUCAUGGCCCUUACGUCCAGGGCUACACACGUGCUACAAUGGUCGGUACAAUGGGAAGCAAUACCGCGAGGUGGAGCCAAUCCUCAAAACCGGCCUCAGUUCGGAUUGGAGUCUGCAACUCGACUCCAUGAAGUCGGAAUCGCUAGUAAUCGUUGAUCAGCAGGCAACGGUGAAUACGUCCCCGGGCCUUGUACACACCGCCCGUCACACCAUGGGAGUUGGUUGCACCAGAAGUAGGUAGCUUAACCUUCGGGAGGGCGCUUACCACGAUGUGGUCAAUGACUGGGGUGAAGUCGUAGCAAGGGUA
rnacentral:rRNA from 1 species